GCUCCCAGAAUUUUAGAGCCCUUAGUGUUGCACUUGUCCAUCUGCCAGUCUGUUAUUUUCCUUUGCAUAACAUAAAUAUGACAUACAAUUUCAUACACAUUGUCAAUGAUAUACAUAGUCAAACAUAAACUAAACCUGUUUCAAAUCAAAAUCACAUCAGUUUCAAUACGAAUAUUAUGCAAAGAUUUUUGGAAGGCAAGAAAAAAGGAAAGAGAAGGGAAAAGAAAAGAAAAAAAAGUUAUGUCACUUGGGAGUUGUAGUUUUUAUUAGCUAGGCCAGUGUUGUUGUCUUUUACUUAGUGAAAUAUACACAUAAAGUUCUUCAAAAGUUUGUGUUGCAAAUAUCUUAAAAUAUUUCACCUGGAGUCAUGAAACCAGGUACAGUGACAGGAAUGGGGGCACCUGUGUCCUAUGAACACAUAUCUAGUUCUGUUAGUAAUCACACUGUGUUUUCUCUUUCUAGUAAGUCAUGGCAGAGGAGGACCUCAACGAGAUCAGUCAGGACAUGUCUAGGAUGAGCUGUACAACUAGUUUCAUACACUUCAAAAAUGACGCACAUGAAUCGGUACUACUGAAAGAAAUGAAGAAACUUUAUGAUGAGGAUCUUCUCAAAGAUGUCACAUUAUGUGUAGGAAGUCUCGAAUUUUCAUGCCACAAGAACGUAUUGGCGGCAACUAGUCCAUACUUUAAACUGAUGUUUACAUUAGAAAUGGCUGAAAGUAAAAAGGAUAGGAUUGAAUUGUUUGAAGUUGAUUCUAGGUCAGUGAAAGAUGUUAUUGAAUAUGCUUAUACAGGGAAGGUGAAAAUAACAAGAAGUAAUGCACAAAACUUACUGAGUGCUGCAACUUUGUUUCAGAUACUGCCAGUUCAACGAGCCUGUGCCAAAUUUAUGGAAACACAGCUAGAUAUUCAUAACUGUAUUGGUAUUAACUUCAUAGCAGAAAUCCACAACUGUACGGCAUUAAAAAUUAAAGCAAGAGAAUUCAUUGAAAAGAAUUUUGUUGAUGUUUGCGAGAGUGAAGAGUUUUUGUCAUUGACAUUUAACAAACUAGCUGAGAUAGUUAUGUCUGAUGAACUAAAUGUAGAAAAAGAAGAAAUUGUACUAGACGCUGUUAUUUCCUGGAUAGCUCAUGACUUUCAGUCACGAAAAGGUUUCUUCUGUGAAUUGUUACAAAUGGUUAGAAUUGGUCUGGUUAGUAGUAGUUACGUAAAGGAAGUACUAUCUAGGCACAAAUUGGUGAGAACAUGUCAGAAAUGUAAGGAAUAUAUCCAAGAUCUUAAAGAUUAUGAAACAAAUCCGGGCACAUAUGUAGGGAAUAGAGACUUCAGUUUGAGUCUUAGGUCUGGUAUGUACUACCCAGAAGGUUGCCUACUCAUCAUGGGAGGUGUGGAGCUGACGACUGUACGUCCUUGUAUUAACUGUUAUAACCCAGUCUCGCAAGAAUGUUUCUAUAUUGAGGAAUUCCCAGAGCCGAGGAAACUGGAUACCUAUGAUUGUGAAGACAUUGCUUGUGUUGUAACUGAAAACAACCUAAUAUUUGCAGGAGGUGGUAACUAUAUAUAUCAUCACUUGUUUGAAGAUUCCGAAGAUGACUCUUUUGAGGAACUGGAAUACAAGGAAUAUAUUGUACAGAAAGACUUCUAUCAGUAUGAUAUGGAUCAUAAUGAGUGGCUCGCAAAAUCACCGAUGCUGUUUCCUAAGUCAAACUUUACUCUUGCCAGCUUGAACGGAAAGAUCUAUUGUUUCGGAGGCUUAACAGAAAACAAGCAUCCAACAGAAAUCAUUGAAGUGUAUGACAUUGAGAGGAAUAGAUGGAAUUAUCAAGGCAUGCUACCUACAACACUUGUUGAUCUCGCCUCAGUAGUAUAUAAGGAAAAUAUAUAUCUACUAGGAGGACGUACUGGAGUGGGUGCUCACAAUAGCCUGAUAAGAUACAACCCAGAGACUGAGGAGUGGACGUCUCUUGCCGGAAUGCUUACACCAAGAUUCAACUUUGGUGCGUGUCUGCUUGACGGAGAAAUCUAUGUUGCUGGAGGACAGAUAUACUCACAUGCUUCUUAUACCAUCAACAGAGAAGUGUUAAGAACAGUUGAGAUCUAUAAUAUAGAGUCCAACCAGUGGCGACUGGGACCAGAACUUCCGGUAGACAUGUUUAAUGUUGGUCUAUGUGUGAUCAGUGGUGCGAUGUAUGCUUGUGGUACACCAGAAUAUGAUGAAGAUCUGACUUCACAGAGGUCCUAUAAUGCGGUGUGUAGACUUGACCUGGGUACAAAUGUAUGGGAGAUGACAGAAGAUAGUCUGUGUAGUGUUAGGAACUUUAGAUGUGUGAUGGCCAAGAUGCACACAAGGAAACUUCAGAAGGUGUUUUCAUCCUCUGCUGUAUAGGUAAAAGUCUGAUUCAGCCAUUGAUUUGAAUCAAAACAGGGAACAAAACUAUAGUUUCAUCAGUCCAGUGUACUGUUGAAUAUAGAAUUUUUUAGCUCGAAAUUAUGGUCACCAGUUUAAAUCUGUGUCAGUGUCAUGAAUACAGUUAAUGCCUGUCCCCUCGAAUUAGAGUCAACUUGUAGCCUGACUUUUAGAAUCAAAAUAAGCUUAUAUUUGUCUUUGUGUUAAAGCUUUUUAAACCUUUCCAUAUGCUUCAUUUUUAUCACCUACAUGUUGAAUUUCUAUGAAGCAUGUGUACGUAUUUUGUUUCAGCUUUGGCUGAACAUAUACUCUAAAUCUUGUAAAAUACAUAAUUAGCUUUUUGGAGUAUUCUUAAUAUAUAUCCUGCCAUGUGGAGUGAAUGUCUUUCCAGUGGUCAUCAGCCCACAGUAAUAAAUUGAAAUUUGUUAAAGCUCAGAUUUUUUUCUUCAGAGGUCAAGUAUACAUGAAGUUUGAGUGACACUCAAAUUUUUUAAACGCUUAAGUCAAAUUUGUUGAUUUCCGGUCCAUUGAUGGGAGAGGUAAUUCUUCCUAAUUCCAUAAUUAUGUUUUAUUAUUGUCUUCAAAUAAUGAUAAAAUUGGUAUAAUGAUAAUAAUAUAAAUGAUGAUAAUAGUGGCCAAAUUGAACUGACACCAUGUUUCAUUUAGGAUACAUAACUAGUAAUCAUGUAGGAAUCACAAAAUAGUGAAGAACAUAAAUGCAUGGUUAUGCUAAAAGAUGUAGAUUUAUUCUGUCUGUUUAUUCUGUAAAAGGCUGAUCAUUCUGUAAGAGACUAAAAAUAUGUGCAGUAGUUUGGGAUGUACAGGUUAAUUAUACUCCCUUCCCCUGCUUUAUCUUUUGGAUGGCAUGGUUGUUGAUUCACUGACAGACUUUUGAAGGCAAGUCAUUGGGACAUAUGAUGCUGGGCUUGUUCUUUACUAUCUUAGUAAUAUGGGCAUCCGGACAGUAACAACAGACAUGGGGGUUUAGUGGGCAUCUGGACAGUAACAACAGACAUGGGGGUUUAGUGGGCAUCUGGACAGUAACAACAGACAUGGGGGUUUAGUGGGCAUCUGGACAGUAACAACAGACAUGGGGGUUUAGUGGGCAUCUGGACAGUAACAACAGACAUGGGGGUUUAGUGGGCAUCUGGACAGUAACAACAGACAUGGGGGUUUAGUGGGCAUCCGGACAGUAACAACAGACAUGAGGGUUUAGGUAUUGGGAUUAGUGGCAGAAACUGCUCUUAUUGAAUGGCCAGCGAAUGUAGUCAAGGUAAAUGGAUGGUGUAUUCGUGUGAAUUUGUUCCUUCGAAAACUGGUAUGUUGACCUUGUUCACGAAAGGAAUAAAAGUUAGUUGUUGCUGUAAGUUUGUGCAGUGGUGACAGUAAUCCAAAAUUCAAUAUGAAGUUGAUCACUGUGCAGCAUUAGUUAGGAUUUUCUUAACAACUUAGUCAUAUUCUGCCCAUCUAGAUAUGCCUAGCCAUAGCGAGAAUAAAUCACACAUCUAGAUAUGCCCAGCCAUAGCGAGAAUAAAUCACACAUCAUCUGCCUGUAUUUCAUCCGUGCUAGGGUGUCUCCGGGAAACUGCAACAUACCUCAAAAUGCUGAUAUCCACGUAUCUUGUUUGGGAUAGUGUUUAUGUUGGAUUGACCAACAAAUUGUAACAAACAAGUAUUAGUAGAGCUAUUAGAAAUUUGGAAGGUUGCAAAGUGGACAAAGUUGGCAAAAGGAUUGGGUUUGUUUUGCUAGGACUGUCUGAUGACAAGGAUUCUCUAUCAGUUAUCAAAGAAUCCUGUCGUGAGAUGUAUACAUUUAACUGUUUGAAUCUUUCUUGUUGAUUUCUUUACCCUCUGCAUUUUUCUAAAAAGCACUGCUGAUGGAUGAGCAUUAAAACUUUGAAAGUGAUGACUGUAAAUUAGUGUUACAACUAUCUACUCUAGUGUUGACAGUGAAUAUCGACUGUAAUGUGCUUAAUGUAAAGUACACAUAAUUAAGAGGUCCAUGACCACCUCCAUAUUUUAUGCAGACUUAGAGUUCACUUGUUCUACAUCAUCACCCACAUCAUGUGAGAAUCAGUCUAGUGAUAGUUUGGAGUUUCCUCAGAUAUGCCCUAUUUCACUAUCCAUUACCGAAAAAGUCAAAUGUGAUGUUUCCUCUUUGUUUCUUGUGUUAUGAUUCAUUAAUUAUGUGGAAUGUUGUAUUUUGUGAUGUCAUAACAUUAUGACAUCAUUGUUGAAGGUGGUUGGCUCCUAGACAGUUUGAUGUUUUUACACAUCGUGUUUCUGUGUUUCUAAAGACUAAUGGAAAUUACUUUAAAUAUAGAUUUGAUAAUAAAUUGUGAUCACCCUUCGUCCGUCCGUCGUCUGUUCACAAUUUCCUUGUGAACACGAUAGAGACUAUAUUUUGUUUUUGAUUUUAAUCAAACUUGCACACAACUUGUAUGGGCAUAAUAUCUUGGUUCCUUUCGAAAACUGGCCAGAUCCCAUCAUGAGUUCCAGAGUUAUGGCCCCUUAAAGGGACAAAAUUUGCCAUUUUUAGCUCACCUGUCACAAAGUGACAAGGUGAGCUUUUGUGAUCGCGCGGUGUCCGUCGUCCGUGCGUGCGUGCGUCCGUGCGUGCGUGCCUCUGUAAACUUUUGCUUGUGACCACUCUAGAGGUCACAUUUUUCAUGGGAUCUUUAUGAAAGUUGGUCAGAAUGUUCAUCUUGAUGAUAUCUAGGUCAAGUUCGAAACUGGGUCACGUGCCUUCAAAAACUAAGUCAGUAGGUCUAAAAAUAGAAAAACCUUGUGACCUCUCUAGAGGCCAUAUAUUUCACAAGAUCUUCAUGAAAAUUGGUCAGAAUGUUCACCUUGAUGAUAUCUAGGUCAAGUUCGAAACUGGGUUACCUGCCUUCAAAAACUAGGUCAGUAGGUCUAAAAAUAGAAAAACCUUGUGACCUCUCUAGAGGCCAUAUAUUUCACAAGAUCUUCAUGAAAAUUGGUCAGAACGUUCAUCUUGAUGAUAUCUAGGUCAAGUUCGAAACUGGGUCAUGUGCCGUCAAAAACUAGGUCAGUAGGUCAAUUAAUAGAAAAACCUUGUGACCUCUCUAAAGGCCACAUUUUUCAUGGGAUCUGUAUGAAAGUUGGUCAGAAUGUUCAUCUUGAUGAUACCUAGAUCUAGUUCGAAACUGGGUCACGUGCAGUCAAAAACUAGGUCAGUAGGUCUAAAAAUAGAAAAACCUUGUGACCUCUCUAGAGGCCAUAUAUUUCAUGAGAUCUUCAUGAAAAUUGGUCAGAAUGUUCACCUUGAUGAUAUCUAGGUCAAGUUCGAAAGUGGGUCAAGUGCCUUCAAAAACUAGGUCAGUAGGUCAAAUAAUAAAAAACCUUGUGACCUCUCUAGAGGCCAUAUUUUUCAUGGGAUCUUUAUGAAAGUUGGUCUGAAUGUUCAUCUUGAUGAUAUCUAGGUCAAGUUCGAAACUGGGUCAACUGCAGUCAAAAACUAGGUCAGAAGGUCUAAAAAUAGAAAAACCUUGUGACCUGUCUAGAGGCCAUACUUUUGAAUGGAUCUUGAUGAAAAUUGGUCAGAAUGUUCACCUUGAUGAUACCUAGGUCAAGUUCGAAACUGGGUCACAUGCCGUCAAUAACUAGGUCAGUAGGUCAAAUAAUAAAAAACCUUGUGACCUCUUUAGAGGCCAUAUUUUUCAUGGGAUCUGUAUGAAAGUUGGUCUGAAUGUUCAUCUUGAUGAUAUCAAGGUCAGCUUCAAAACUGGGUCACAUGAGCUCAAAAACUAGGUCACUAUGUCAAAUAAUAGAAAAAACGAUGUCCUACUCAUUUCAGAACUGGGUCAUAUGGGGACAG